AACGAACGCUGGCGGCAGGCCUUAUACAUGCAAGUCGAACGAUAAUGUUACUUUGGUAACAGGAAAGUGGCGCACGGGUGAGUAACGCGUAGAGAUCUACCAAGCAGUGGGGAACAACUAUUGGAAACGAUAGCUAAAACCGCAUACGCCCUGAGGGGGAAAUAUUUAUAGCUGUUUGAUGAGUCUGCGUUAGAUUAGAUAGUUGGUGGGGUAAUGGCCUACCAAGUCUACGAUCUAUAGCUGGUUUGAGAGGAUGAUCAGCAACACUGGGACUGAGACACGGCCCAG
rnacentral:rRNA from 1 species